AGUGAACGCUGGCGGUAGGCCUAACACAUGCAAGUCGAGCGGCAGCACAGUAAGAGCUUGCUCUUACGGGUGGCGAGUGGCGGACGGGUGAGGAAUACAUCGGAAUCUACUUUUUCGUGGGGGAUAACGUAGGGAAACUUACGCUAAUACCGCAUACGGCCUACGGGUGAAAGCAGGGGAUCUUCGGACCUUGCGCGAUUGAAUGAGCCGAUGUCGGAUUAGCUAGUUGGCGGGGUAAAGGCCCACCAAGGCGACGAUCCGUAGCUGGUCUGAGAGGAUGAUCAGCCACACUGGAACUGAGACACGGUCCAGACUCCUACGGGAGGCAGCAGUGGGGAAUAUUGGACAAUGGGCGCAAGCCUGAUCCAGCCAUACCGCGUGGGUGAAGAAGGCCUUCGGGUUGUAAAGCCCUUUUGUUGGGAAAGAAAAGCAGCAGGUUAAUACCCCGCUGUUCUGACGGUACCCAAAGAAUAAGCACCGGCUAACUUCGUG
rnacentral:rRNA from 1 species